GCGCAACAACUUCCACCUGGCUUACCUUUUCAGUCUUGUGUCAUUGCUUGUAUCGCAUUGAAUGCAUGGUGGGUUUCUUGUGUUGCAUGCCUAAUUGAUGGUAUCAUUUGAAGAAUUGAUGUCCCUUUUCAUCUUGUGUCGCACAUGCGAUGUGAGAUGAACCUUGAAGUAGACUUUGUGAUCCACUCUUUCGAUGUACACGCAUUGAUUUUGUGGCCCACUCUGUGUUGCUUGGUCUCAUGGAUAUGGAACCUGGUGUGGGCAUGGGAUCUUUACUAUUUCCUUGUUUGCCCUGGUUUAGCUUUUCUAAUACGAUUGUUUAUCACAUUUUAAUGUGGUAGGCUAUAUCGGAUAUGAAUGCUACCUGGUUGAUCCUGCC
rnacentral:misc_RNA from 3 species